rnacentral:rRNA from 1 species
GGGACAACCCGCCGAAAGGCGGGCUAAACCCGCGUACAUGCCACCGGGGCAUCCCGGAGGCAGGAAAGGCUUCGGCCGGACAGGGAUGGGCAUGCGGCGCAUUAGGCAGUAGGCGGGGUAACGGCCCACCCAACCGACGAUGCGUAGGGGUUCUGAGAGGAAGGUCCCCCACACUGGUACUGAGACACGGACCAGACUCCUACGGGAGGCAGCAGUGAGGAAUAUUGGUCAAUGGUCGGGAGACUGAACCAGCCAAGCCGCGUGAGGGAUGAAGGUACAGAGUAUCGUAAACCUCUUUUGUCAGGGAACAAAGGCGGGGACGUGUCCCCGGAUGAGUGUACCUGAAGAAAAAGCAUCGGCUAACUCCGUGCCAGCAGCCGCGGUAAUACGGAGGAUGCGAGCGUUAUCCGGAUUUAUUGGGUUUAAAGGGUGCGCAGGCGGUCUGUUAAGUCAGCGGUCAAAGCCCGGGGCUCAACCCCGGCCCGCCGUUGAAACUGGCAGUCUCGAGUUGGAGAGAAGUAUGCGGAAUGCGCGGUGUAGCGGUGAAAUGCAUAGAUAUCGCGCAGAACUCCGAUUGCGAAGGCAGCAUGCCGGCUCCACACUGACGCUGAGGCACGAAAGCGUGGGUAUCGAACAGGAUUAGAUACCCUGGUAGUCCACGCAGUAAACGAUGAAUGCAGGCUGUCCG